AGGAUUUGGCAAGAGGACCAGAAAAGAACACAGGCAGAGUGGGGAAUUUUCCAUGGGCUGUGAAAGUUUCCAGGAGCAGUUAUUGAACAGUUAUUGAUCUCUUUUAUGACUGAUUUAAAGAGAUUAAAUUAAAGGAAAAUUGGGAGGAAGUUAAGGAAAAAGAAAACCACUCUCCUAAAAAGGAGGAAUUAGUGGGGAAGGAGGAAAAAAGACACGUGAGGGGGGAGACAAAAAGGGAUUCACGCACAACAAAGAC
rnacentral:lncRNA from 1 species